UACGGAGGGAGCAAGCGUUACUCGGAAUUAUUGGGCGUAAAGGGCGCGUAGGCGAUUUGAAAAGUCUUGUGUGAAAGCCCGAGCUUAACUCGGGAAGUGCACAAGAAACUGUUGAAUUUGAGUUCCGGAGAGGAAGGCAGAAUUCCCGGUGUAGCGGUGAAAUGCGUAGAUAUCGGGAGGAAUACCAGUGGCGAAGGCGGGUCUCUGGACAGUUACUGACGCUGAGGCACGAAGGCCAGGGGAGCAAACGGGG
rnacentral:rRNA from 1 species